GUCAGACAGGUCCUGAAGUCCCAGCAAAAUGGGAGAACAAGAUGCAAACAAUUAACACAUAUGUUCUACCAGUCAUCAGGUACCCAACUGGAAUAAUAACCUGACCAAAAGAAGAGAGUUGGUCAUCAUCGAUGUUAAAGCCCAAAAACUAAUAUGAACGGAGGAUUCCACGCAAAAUCCAGCACACAGAGACUGUACACCAGCUGGAAGAAAGCAUGUCAGUGCCUGUUGAGUGUCAAGGCCACAGGCUCACAUUAGAUGGCUACCGUCACAAAGAUGGCUCCCAAACUUGAACUGCUAAGGGAAUGCCUGAG